ACAUCCAAGGAAGGCAGCAGGCGCGUAAAUUACCCAAUCCUGACACAGGGAGGUAGUGACAAUAAAUAACAGUGCCGGGCCUUUACAGGUCUGGCAAUUGGAAUGAGAACAAUUUAAAUCCCUUAUCGAGGAUCAAUUGGAGGGCAAGUCUGGUGCCAGCAGCCGCGGUAAUUCCAGCUCCAAUAGCGUAUAUUAAAGUUGUUGCAGUUAAAAAGCUCGUAGUUGUAUUUGUGGCGUGCGUUAGGCUCCCUUUCCCUUUGGGAUUUGGUGUUGCCUGGCGUUGCCAUCCUUGGGUGGAACCUGUGUGGCAUUAGGUUGUCGUGCAGGGGAUGUCCAU
rnacentral:rRNA from 1 species